rnacentral:rRNA from 1 species
UCUUCCCUCUCGCGGGAGGCCUAACACAUGCAAGCCGAGCGGUAUUGUUUCUUCGGAAAUGAGAGAGCGGCGUACGGGUGCGUAACACGUGUGCAACCUGCCUUUAUCUGGGGGAUAGCCUUUCGAAAGGAAGAUUAAUACUCCAUAAUAUAUUGAACGGCAUCGUUUAAUAUUGAAAGCUCCGGCGGAUAGAGAUGGGCACGCGCAAGAUUAGCUAGUUGGUGAGGUAACGGCUCACCAAGGCGAUGAUCUUUAGGGGGCCUGAGAGGGUGAUCCCCCACACUGGUACUGAGACACGGACCAGACUCCUACGGGAGGCAGCAGUGAGGAAUAUUGGUCAAGGGGUGCAAGCCUGAACCAGCCAUCCCGCGUGAAGGACGACUGCCCUAUGGGUUGUAAACUUCUUUUGUAUAGGGAUAAACCUACCCUCGGGAGGGUAGCUGAAGGUACUAUACGAAUAAGCACCGGCUAACUCCGUG